UGAAUACGAGAUGCUACGGCGUCGAAGCAGUCUAUGUCAUACUUCCAAGAAAAGCUUGCACUGUCAUAAACAAAUAAUGCCUGUACCAUAACCGACACAGGUGGGUAGGUAGAGUAUACUAAGGGGCGCGAGAUAACUCUCUCUAAGGAACUCGGCAAAAUGACUCCGUAACUUCGGGAGAAGGAGUGCCUUAUUUUAUAAGGUUGCAAUAACAAGAUCCAAGCAACUGUUUACCAAAAACACAGGUCUCCGCUAAGUCGUAAGACGAUGUAUGGGGGCUGACGCCUGCCCAGUGCCAGAAGGUUAAAGAAGUUGGUUAGCAUCCGCGAAGCUGAUAACUGAAGCCCUGGUGAACGGCGGCCGUAACAAUAACGGUCCUAAGGUAGCGAAAUUCCUUGUCGGGUAAGUUCCGACCCGCACGAAAGGCGUAAUGAUUUGGAUACUGUCUCAGAGAGGGGCUCGGUGAAAUAGACUUGUCUGUGAAGAUGCGGACUACCUGCACCAGGACAGAAAGACCCUAUGAAGCUUUACUGUAACUUGAAAUUGAAAUUGGACUUUACUUGCGCAGUAUAGGUGGGAGGCGUUGAGAAUAUUCUUGCGGGAAUGUUGGAGCCAUCAGUGAGAUACCACUCUUGUAAUGUUAGAUUUCUAACUUUGUAUCAUUAUCUGGUCAAAGGACAGUUUCAGGCGGGCAGUUUGACUGGGGCGGUCGCCUCCCAAACGGUAACGGAGGCGCACAAAGGUUUCCUCUGAACGGGUAGAAAUCGUAUCUAGAGUGUAAAGGCAUAAGGAAGCUUGACUGUGAGACCUACAAGUCGAGCAGGGACGAAAGUCGGUCUUAGUGAUCUGACGGUGCUGAGUGGAAAGGCCGUCACUCAACGGAUAAAAGUUACUCUAGGAUAACAGGCUGAUCUCCCCCAAGAGUUCACAUCGACGGGGAGGUUUGGCACCUCGAUGUCGGCUCAUCGCAUCCUGGGGCGGUAGUACGUCCCAAGGGUUGGGCUGUUCGCCCAUGAAAGCGGUACGCGAGCUGGGUUCAGAACGUCGUGAGACAGUUCGGUCCAUAUCCGGUGUAGGCGUUAGAAUAUUGAGAGGAGCCUUCUUUAGUACGAGAGGACCGAGAAGGACAUACCUCUGGUGUACCAGUUAUCGUGCCAACGGUAAACGCUGGGUAGCUAUGUAUGGAGUGGAUAACCGCUGAAAGCAUCUAAGUGGGAAGCCCACCUCAAGAUAAGUAUUCUCACC
rnacentral:rRNA from 1 species